CAAAGUUGUGUAGUGCGAUCGGUGGAUGCCUUGGCACCAAGAGCCGAUGAAGGACGUUGUGACCUGCGAUAAGCCCUGGGGAGUUGGUGAGCGAGCUGUGAUCCGGGGGUGUCCGAAUGGGGAAACCUGGAAUGUCCGGAGUAGUGUCCGGUGGCCCUGCCCUGAAUGUAUAGGGGUGUGGGUGGUAACGCGGGGAAGUGAAACAUCUUAGUACCCGUAGGAAGAGAAAACAAGUGUGAUUCCGUGAGUAGUGGCGAGCGAAAGCGGAGGAGGCUAAACCGUGUGUGUGUUCAAGCCGGCAGGUGUUGCAUGUGCGGGGUUGUGGGGGCCUUGUGGUUCUGCUGCCGCAGGAUUGGCCAGUGAGAAAUGUUGCGUGAAGGUGAAGCGUCUGGGAAGGCGUACCGGAGUGGGUGAGAGUCCUGUAACUGUAAGCGUGGCACUGGUGUGGGGUUGCCCCGAGUAGCGUGGGACUCGUGGAAUUUCGCGUGAAUCUGGCGGGACCACCCGUCAAGCCUAAAUACUCCUUGGUGACCGAUAGUGGAUGAGUACCGUGAGGGAAGGGUGAAAAGUACCCCGGGAGGGGAGUGAAAGAGUUCCUGAAACCGGUCGCAUGCAAGCCGUCAGAGCCUGUGUGGUGAUGGCGUGCCUUUUGAAGAAUGAGCCUGCGAGUUAGUGAUGCGUGGCGAGGUUAACCCGUGGUGGGGGAGUCGUAGCGAAAGCGAGUCCGAUAAGGGCGUGAGUCGCGUGUUCUAGACCCGAAGCGGUGUGAUCUAUCCAUGGCCAGGAUGAAGCGUCGGUAAGACGUCGUGGAGGUCCGAACCCACUUCAGUUGAAAAUGGAGGGGAUGAGUUGUGGAUAGGGGUGAAAGGCCAAUCAAACACCGUGAUAGCUGGUUCUCCCCGAAAUGCAUUUAGGUGCAGCGUUGCGUGGUUCUUGUUGGAGGUAGAGCACUGGAUGGUCUAGGGGGCUUAUCGGCUUACCGAAAUCAGCCAAACUCCGAAUGCUGGCAAGUGUAGCGUGGCAGUGAGACGGCGGGGGAUAAGCUUCGUCGUCGAGAGGGAAACAGCCCAGAUCAUCAGCUAAGGCCCCUAAGUGGUGACUCAGUGGGAAAGGAUGUGGAGUUGCGUAGACAACCAGGAGGUUGGCUUGGAAGCAGCCAUCCUUGAAAGAGUGCGUAAUAGCUCACUGGUCAAGUGAUUCCGCGCCGAUAAUGUAGCGGGGCUUAAGUUAUCCGCCGAAGCUGUGGCAACCUGUGUGGUUGGGUAGGGGAGCGUCGUGUCAGUGGUGAAGCUGCCGGGUGACUGUGUGGUGGAGUUGAUGCGAGUGAGAAUGCAGGCAUGAGUAGCGUGUGACGGGUGGGAAUCCCGUCCGCCGAUUAUCCAAGGGUUCCAGGGUCAAGUUUGUCUGCCCUGGGUGAGUCGGGUCCUAAGGCGAGGCCGACAGGCGUAGUCGAUGGGUAACCAGUUGAUAUUCUGGUACCGGCUUGUCACCGUCCGUGUCGAGGUGUGUGAUGCUAAGCAUGUGAGCUUGUCUUGGGAGUGUUUUUGAUGCUUCUGGGGUGGGUGAGUGUGUGAACCGAUCAUGUAGUAGGCAAGCUGCGGAGGGACGCAGUGAGGUAGCUCAUCCCCGGUGAUGGUUGUCCGGGGCUAAGUGUGUGGACUGUCUGGUAGGUAAAUCCGCUGGGCGUGAAGGUUGAGGCAUGAUGGGGAGCCCAUGGUUGUGGGUGAGUGAGUGAUCCUGUACUGUCGAGAAAAGCUUCGUGAGCGAGGUGGCGGGUCCGCCCGUACCCUAAACCGACACUGGUGGAUAGGUAGAGUAUACCGAGGCGAUCGAGUGAAUCGUGGUGAAGGAACUCGGCAAAAUGCCCCCGUAACUUUGGGAUAAGGGGGACCUGAGCUGUCGUGCACCCGUGCGGUGUGGUGGCGGUGAGGGGCGCAGAGUCCAGGGGGAAACGACUGUUUACCAAAAACACAGGUCCGUGCGAAGUCGUAAGACGAUGUAUACGGACUGACUCCUGCCCGGUGCUGGAAGGUUAAGGGGAACUGUGAGUGUAUGCGUAGCGGUGAACUUAAGCCCCAGUAAACGGCGGUGGUAACUAUAACCAUCCUAAGGUAGCGAAAUUCCUUGUCGGGUAAGUUCCGACCUGCACGAAUGGAGUAACGAUUUCCCUACUGUCUCCACCAUGAACUCGGUGAAAUUGCAUUACGAGUAAAGAUGCUCGUUACGCGCAGCAGGACGGAAAGACCCCGGGACCUUUACUAUAGUUUGGUAUUGGUGAUUGGGACGGUUUGUGUAGGAUAGGUGGGAGACGUUGAUGCGGCCACGCUAGUGGUGG
rnacentral:rRNA from 1 species